CAAGAAAAAGUAACACAAUUCAACAAUCUGAACUGAAACUCUGAUCCUCUCAUCAGACUUCUUUACUUUCUCUGUUCAGCAACUGGCUUAACAUACCCCAGAACUACUAUGAUGAGUUUAUUAGUCCUCUUGGCUAAAAUGGUGGACUUUUAUGUUAGGUUUUUGACCUCAUGUUGUAGCUCAUAGAUACCACAAUUGAUGUAUGAAACAAAUUUAAAAUGAAUCUUUUUUGGUCUGACUAAAUUCAUGUCUAACCCCUUCACCCAUGUGCUUCUAACCUUCACAGACUCCAUGAAUUGAUGCCCAUCUCCUAAAUAUUUGGUCACAUGAUCAAUUUCUUUUACCAUUUCCAAGUAACAGGGGUGGCUCAACCUAUACUUUGGCUCAACUUACCCCACUCUGCCCUAUUAUUUUAAUUAUUAUUAGGGCCCGAGCGUAGCUGCUAAGCAGCUGCGAGAGCCCUAUUAUUCCCCAAGGGGUUUUUCUUUGUUUCUUUAGGGCCCGAGCGUAGCUGCUAAGCAGCUGCGAGAGCCCUCUUGUUCCUGUAGUUUCCUUCUUUUUAGGGCCCGAGCGUAGCUGCUAAGCAGCUGCGAGAGCCCUCUUGUUCCUGUAGUUUCCUUCUUUUGUUAUUAUUAUUAGGGCCCGAGCGUAGCUGCUAAGCAGCUGCGAGAGCCCUCUUGUUCCUGCAUGUUUCCUUCUUUAGGGCCCGAGCGUAGCUGCUAAGCAGCUGCGAGAGCCCUCUUGUUCCUGAUGGAUUCUUCUUUCGUUAUUUUUCCUCCGCUUUAAACUGGAAAAUGGCCCACUUCCCACUGGCGAAAACUCAGGAAAUUUGGCAGGACGACCGGGCCUGGUGAAAAAUUCGAUAUUCUGAAGUCGCCCAAACAAAAAAAUGAAAAAUGGCUCCAUAGCGCCCCCUAUGGUGAAAACUCACCUGACGCCUGUACGCUUUGUCAAAAUGACACAAAAUUUGACACACAUGUGUAUCUCAAUAAGAUCUACAAAAAAGUCAGUGCGGGCGUAUCUGUCAAAUGUACGGUUAAAGGGCUAUUUCGCAUUUUUUGCCGAUCCGCACACAUUGGAAUUUCGCUAACUCCUCCGAAGGCUUUCGUUCCACCGGCAACAAAUUUGCUCAGGACAAUCUACACCCCAUGGCCAUUAAAAGUUGUACAAAUCAUGACGCUGCACCCCACGGUUUACAUUCUAGGGGGCGCCAAAGAUAACCCAAAAAUCCACAGUCUUAAAAGUCUUAUAACUUUUUAUUUUUGUCCUCACUGGCCUCCAAGUUUUCUAGGAUGAUGCAAUGUCCAGCCAUCAACACAUUUGUGAAGAAAUUUUUACUCCCCAAAAGAGCGCCCCCCAUGGCAGGAGAAAAAAGUCAAUUUUUUCUUGUCCCCUAAGGUGAAAAUACACAUUGUUGAGUGUCAUGCCUGAACGCUUUGUCAUAUUGACACAAAAUUUGACACACACGUGUAUCUCAAUAAGAUCUACGAAAAAGUUAAAGAACGCGUAUCUGUCAAAUGUACGGUUAAAGGGCUAUUUCGCAUUUUUUGCGGAUCCGCACACAUUGGAAUUUCGCUAACUCCUCCGAAGGCUUUCGUUCCACCGGCACCAAAUUUGCUCAGGCCAAUCUACACCCCAUGGCCAUUAAAAGUUGUACAAAUCAUGACGCUGCACCCCACGGUUUAGGUUCUAGGGGGCGCCAAAGAUAACCCAAAAAUCCACAUUCUUAAAAGUCUUAUAACUUUUUAUUUUUGUCCUCACUGGCCUCCAAGUUCUCUAGGAUGAUGCAAUGUCCAGCCAUCAACACAUUUGUAAAGGAAUUUUUACUCGCCAAAAGAGCGCCCCCCCCAUGGCAGGAGAAAAAAGUCCAUUUUUUCUUGUCUCCUAAGGCGAAAAUUCACACUAUUGACUGUCACGCCUUUACGCUUUGUCAUAUUGACACAAAAAUUGACACACACAUGUAUCUCAAUAAGAUCUACAAAAAAGUCAGUGCGGGCGUAUCUGUCAAAUGUACGGUGAAAGGGCUAUUUCGCAUUUUUUGCCGAUCCGCACACAUUGGAAUUUCGCUAACUCCUCCGAAGGCUUUCGUUCCAAAGGCACCACAUUUGCUGAGGCCAAUCUACACCCCAUGGCCAUUAAAAGUUGUACAAAUCAUGACGCUGCACCCCACGGUUUACGUUCUAGGGGGCGCCAAAGAUAACCCAAAAAUCCACAUUCUUAAAAGUCUUAUAACUUUUUAUUUUUGUCCUCACUGGCCUCCAAGUUCUCUAGGAUGAUGCAAUGUCCAGCCAUCAACACAUUUGUAAAGGAAUUUUUACUCGCCAAAAGAGCGCCCCCCCAUGGCAGGAGAAAAAAGUCCAUUUUUUCUUGUCUCCUAAGGCGAAAAUACACAUUGUUGACUGUCACGCCUUUACGCUUUGUCAAAAUGACACAAAAUUUGACACACACAUGUAUCUCAAUAAGAUCUACAAAAAAGUCAGUGCGGGCGUAUCUGUCAAAUGUACGGUUAAAGGGUUAUUUCGCAUUUUUUGCCGAUCCGCACACAUUGGAAUUUCGCUAACUCCUCCUAAAUCUUUUGUCCCAUCGGCUUCAAAUUUGCUCAGGUCAAUCUACACCCCAUGGCCAUUCAAAGUUGUACAAAUCAUGACGCUGCACCCCACAGUUUACGUUCUAGGGGGCGCCAAAGAGGACCCAAAUAUCCACAUUUUUAAAAGUCUUAUAACUUUUUAUUUUUGUCCUCACUGGCCUCCAAGUUUUCUAGGAUGAUGCAAUGUCCAGCCAUCAACACAUUUGUGAAGGAAUUUUUUCUCCCCAAAAGAGCGCCCCCCCCAUGGCAGGAGAAAAAGUCAAGUUUUUCCUGCCCAUCGCUCAAUGGCUCAAACGCAUCGCUCUCUCUGCAAAACCGAAAGGAGGAGCAACUUGCCAUUUGGAUAUAUACUAGCUGUGUUUGUGCCCUCACUCAUGGUCCAGACUUUUUUCAAAUAGGACAUGUAGUUUGUCUGCAGCGAGCGUUUUGGUAGAAACUGCGCCUCCCAUUCAUUAUAAUGGGAAAUGACCACAGACAAGUGCGCACACCAUCUUUGGACCUUGAGUGUGACGCGAUCGGGAGGGGGAGGCGGUCGCGCUGGGGGCGGCGCGACGCGGCUCGGGCCCGACAGUGCCCCACCGGGGCCCUAGUUUGUUAUUAUUAUUUUUCCUCCCCUUUGAACUGGAAAAUGGCCCACUUCCCACUGGCGAAAACUCAUGAAAUUUGGCAGGACGACCGGGCCUGGUGAAAAAUUUGAUAUUCUGAAGUCGCCCAAACAAUACAAUGCAAAAUGGCUCCAUAGCGCCCCCUAAGGUGAAAAAUUCACCUGACGCCUGUACGCUUUGUCAAAAUGACACAAAAAUUGACACACACAUGUAUCUCAAUAAGAUCUACAAAAAAGUCAGUGCGGGCGUAUCUGUCAAAUGUACGGUUAAAGGGUUAUUGCGCAUUUUUUGCCGAUCCGCACACAUUGGAAUUUCGCUAACUCCUCCGAAGGCUUUCGUUCCACCGGCACCAAAUUUGCUCAGGCCAAUCUACACCCCAUGGCCAUUAAAAGUUAUUCAAAUCAUGACGCUGCACCCCACGGUUUAGGUUCUAGGGGGCGCCAAAGAUAACCCUAAAAUCCACAUAUUUAAAAGUCUUAUAACUUUUUAUUUUUGUCCUCUCUGGCCUCCAAGUUUUCUAGGAUGAUGCAAUGUCCAGCCAUCAACACAUUUGUGAAGGAAUUUUUACUCCCCAAAAGAGCGCCCCCCCAUGGCAGGAGAAAAAAGUCCAUUUUUUCUUGUUCCAUAAGGUGAAAAUUCACACUAUUGACUGUCACGCCUGUACGCUUUGUCAAAAUUACACAAAAAUUGACACACACAUGUAUCUCAAUAAGAUCUACAAAAAAGUCAGUGCGGGCGUAUCUGUCAAAUGUACGGUUAAAGGGUUAUUGCGCAUUUUUUGCCGAUCCGCACACAUUGGAAUUUCGCUAACUCCUCCGAAGGCUUUCGUUCCACCGGCACCACAUUUGCUCAGGCCAAUCUACACCCCAUGGCCAUUAAAAGUUAUUCAAAUCAUGACGCUGCACCCCACGGUUUAGGUUCUAGGGGGCGCCAAAGAUAACCCUAAAAUCCACAUAUUUAAAAGUCUUAUAACUUUUUAUUUUUGUCCUCUCUGGCCUCCAAGUUUUCUAGGAUGAUGCAAUGUCCAGCCAUCAACACAUUUGUGAAGGAAUUUUUACUCCCUAAAAGAGCGCCCCCCCAUGGCAGGAGAAAAAAGUCCAUUUUUUCUUGUCCCAUAAGGUGAAAAUACACAUUGUUGACUGUCAUACCUGUAUGCUUUGUCAUAUUGACACAAAAAUUGACACACACAUGUAUCUCAAUAAGAUCUACGAAAAAGUCAAUGCGGCCGUAUCUGUAAAAUGUACGGUUAAAGGGCUAUUUUGCAUUUUUUGCUGAUUAGCACACAUUGGAAUGUGGCUAACUCCUCCUAAGGCUUUCGUCCCACUGACACCAAAUUUGCUCAGGCCAAUCUACACCCCAUGGCCAUUCAAAGUUUUAAAAAUCAUGACGCUGCACCCCACGGUUUACGUUCUAGGGGGCGCCAAAGAUGACCCAAAUAUCCACAUUCUUAAAAGAAUCCACAUCCCUUUCCCCCCUCCCAUCCCCCAUCCCCCAUGGCAGGAGAAACAGUCAAGUUUUUCCUGCCCAUCACUCAAUGGCUCAAUCGCAUCGCUCUCCCAGCAACACCGUAACGAGGAGCAACUUGCCGUUUGGAUAUAUCCUAGCUGUGUUUGUGCCCUCACUCAUGGUCCAGACUUUUUUCAAAUAGGACAUGUAGUUUGUCUGCAGCGAGUGUUUUGGUAGAAACUGCGCCUCCCAUUCAUUAUAAUGGGAAAUGACCACAGACAAGUGCGCACACCAUCUUUGGACCUUGAGUGUGACGCGAUCGGGAGGGGGAGGCGGUCGCACUGGGGGCGGCGCAACGCGGCUCGGGCCCGCCAGUGCCCCAACGGGGCCCUAGUUAUUAUUAUUUUUCCUCCCCUUUGAACUGGAAAAUGGCCCACUUCCCACUGGCGAAAACUCAUGAAAUUUGGCAGGACGACCAGGCCUGGUGAAAAAUUUGAUAUUCCGAAGUCGCCCAAACAAGAAAAUGCAAAAUGGCUCCAUAGCGCCCCCUAAGGUGAAAAUUCACACUAUUCACUGUCACGCCUGUACGCUUUGUCAAAAUGACACAAAAAUUGACACACACAUGUAUCUCAAUAAGAUCUACAAAAAAGUCAGUGCGGGCGUAUCUGUCAAAUGUACGGUUAAAGGGUUAUUUCGCAUUUUUUGCCGAUCCGCACACAUUGGAAUUUCGCUAACUCCUCCGAAGGCUUUCGUUCCACCGGCACCACAUUUGCUCAGGCCAAUCUACACCCCAUGGCCAUUAAAAGUUAUUCAAAUCAUGACGCUGCACCCCACGGUUUAAGUUCUAGGGGGCGCCAAAGAUAACCCUAAGAUCCACAUAUUUAAAAGUCUUAUAACUUUUUAUUUUUGCCCUCACUGGCCUCCAAGUUUUCUAGGAUGAUGCAAUGUCCAGCCAUCAACACAUUUGUGAAGGAAUUUUUACUCCCCAAAAGAGCGCCCCCCCAUGGCAGGAGAAAAAAGUCCAUUUUUUCUUGUCCCCUAAGGUGAAAAUACACAUUGUUGAGUGUAACACCUGUACGCUUUGGCAAAAUGACACAAAAAUUGACACACACAUGUAUCUCAAUAAGAUCUACGAAAAAGUCAAUGCGUGCGUAUCUGUCAAAUGUACGGUUAAAGGGUUAUUCCGCAUUUUUUGCCGAUCCGCACACAUUGGAAUUUCGCUAACUCCUCCGAAGGCUUUCGUUCCACCGGCACCACAUUUGCUCAGGCCAAUCUACACCCCAUGGCCAUUAAAAGUUAUUCAAAUCAUGACGCUGCACCCCACGGUUUAGGUUCUAGGGGGAGCCAAAGAUAACCGUAAAAUCCACAUAUUUAAAAGUCUUAUAACUUUUUAUUUUUGUCCCCACUGGCCUCCAAGUUUUCUAGGAUGAUGCAAUGUCCAGCCAUCAACACAUUUGUGAAGGAAUUUUUACUCGGCAAAAGAGCGCCCCCCAUGGCAGGAGAAAAAAGUCCAUUUUUUCUUGUCCACUAAGGUGAAAAUACACAUUGUUGAGUGCUACGCCUGUAUGUUUUGUCGUAUUGACACAAAAUUUUACAUACACGUGUAUUUCAAUAAGAUCUUCGAAAAAGUCAAUGGCCACGUAUCUGUAAAAUGUACGGUUAAAGGGUUAUUUCGCAUUUUUUGCAGAUUCGCACACAUUGGAAUUUCGCUUAUUCCUCCGAAGGCUUUCGUUCCACCGGCACCACAUUUGCUCAGGCCAAUCUACACCCCAUGGCCAUUAAAAGUUAUUCAAAUCAUGACGCUGCACCCCACGGUUUAGGUUCUAGGGGGCGCCAAAUAUAACCCUAAAAUCCACAUAUUUAAAAGUCUUAUAACUUUUUAUUUUUGUCCUCACUGGCCUCCAUGUUUUCUAGGAUGAUGCAAUGUCCAGCCAUCAACACAUUUGUGAAGGAGUUUUUUCUCUUUAAAAGAGCGCCCCCCAUGGCAGGAGAAUAAAGUCAAGUUUUUCCUGUUCAUCAUUCAAUGGCUCAAACGCACUGCUCUCUCGGCAAAACCGAAAGGAGGAGCAACUUGCCAUUUGGAUAUAUCUUAGCUGUGUUUGUGCCCUCACUCAUGGUCCAGACUUUUUUCAAAUAGGACAUGGAGUUUUUCUGCAGCGAGCGUUUUGGUAGAAACUGUGCCUCCCGUUCAUUAUAAUGGUAAAUGACCACAAACAAGUGCGCACACCAUCUUUGGACCUUGAGUGUGACGCGAUCGGGUGGGGGAGGCGGUCGCGCUGGGGGCGGCGUGACACGGCUCGGGCCCGCCAGUGCCCCAACGGGGCCCUAGUUCUUUGUUUCUUUCUUUCUUUUUUCUUUUUCCUCCCCUUUGAACUGGAAAAUGGCCCACUUCCCACUGGCAAAAACUCAUGAAAUUUGGCAGGACGACCGGGCCUGGUGAAAAAUUCGAUAUUCUGAAGUCGCCCAAACAAUAAAAUGCAAAAUGGCUCCAUAGCGCCCCCUAAGGUGGAAAUUCACACUAUUGACUGUCACGCCUGUACGCUUUGUCAUAUUGACACAAAAAUUGACACACAUAUGUAUCUUAAUAAGAACUACAAAAAAGUCGGUGCGGCCGUAUCUGUCAAAAUUACGGUUAAAGGGUUAUUUCGCAUUUUUUGCCGAUCCGCACACAUUGGAAUUUCGCUAACUCCUCCGAAGGCUUUCGUUCCACCGGCACCACAUUUGCUCAGGCCAAUCUACACCCCGUGGCCAUUAAAAGUUAUCAAAAUCAUGACGCUGCACCCCAAGGUUUAGGUUCUAGGGGGCGCCAAAGAUAACCCUAAAAUCCACAUAUUUAAAAGUCUUAUAACUUUUUAUUUUUGCCCUCACUGGCCUCCAAGUUUUCUAGGAUGAUGCAAUGUCCAGCCAUCAACACAUUUGUGAAGGAAUUUUUACUCCCCAAAAGAGCGCCCCCCAUGGCAGGAGAAAAAAGUCCAUUUUUUCUUGUCCCCUAAGGUGAAAAUUCACACUAUUGACUGUCACGCCUGUACGCUUUGUCAAAAUGACACAAAAAUUGACACACACAUGUAUCUCAAUAAGAUCUACGAAAAAGUCAAUGCGCGCGUAUCUGUCAAAUGUACGGUUAAAGGGUUAUUCCGCAUUUUUUGCCGAUCCGCACACAUUGGAAUGUGGCUAACUCCUCCUAAGGCUUUCGUUCCACCGGCACCACAUUUGCUCAGGCCAAUCUACACCCCAUGGCCAUUAAAAGUUAUUCAAAUCAUGACGCUGCACCCCACGGUUUAGGUUCUAGGGGGCGCCAAAGAUAACCCUAAAAUCCACAUAUUUAAAAGUCUUAUAACUUUUUAUUUUUGUCCUCACUGGCCUCCAAGUUUUCUAGGAUGAUGCAAUGUCCAGCCAUCAACACAUUUGUGAAGGAAAUUUUACUCCCCAAAAGAGCGCCCCCCCAUGGCAGGAGAAAAAAGUCCAUUUUUUCUUGUCCCGUAAGGUGAAAAUACAUAUUGUUGAGAUUCACGCCUAUACGCUUUGUCAUAUUGACACAAAAUUUGACAAUCACGUGCCUUGCCUGGUAUCAUUUUUUUCAGCACAACCUCACCUGUGCGAAUUUACAGUUAUUUUAUCAUGUUGACAUACUGAAUUUACACAAUGGACCCAAAUUCACACACAAAACAUAAAAUCCGAGUGGAAAAAAGUAACAUUUUUACUGUGAAAACCACAAAUAUGUGUGAUGAACUGUUUUUAAAACUUAAACUUCAAAUAAAAAUUGUAAACUUCAAAACAUAUGCAAAUUUUUAACAAAGAACAUAGUGAUUUACCUCUAUUUACAUCAAAAUGCAGGCAAUGGCCCAGGCGUUCUUUGUAAAAUUAUUUACAAAACACUGUAUAGUCUCACAAAUGUCACUUUUUAUUUAUGCCACUACAAAAAAACAUGAUGUAAAUGAUGCAUGAUGUAAAACAUGAUGUAAAAAACUUGUGUAGAUCCUCCUCUAUGUCAGUCCAUGUGUAAUUUUUCCAUAAUUCUUUGUUUUUUGCAGCAUUUUUGUUAGUGUAACUGCAGAUUGUGCUGACAGUGUCUAUGGCACAAAAAAAAAAAAAAUAAAAUGCCUCAACAUGAACCCCUGGUGGUCUCUGAGGGUGAAACCUGCUAACUGCUGCAGCUCUGUCAGCUUCAGUCUCCCAUGCAGAGCUCUGAGCGCAUGUGUGGCUCUGCACCCUUAGCAGCGUUGCUAACUCCUCAGUAAGGAAAGCCUGCUUCAUGUCAGAGUCUCUAAACUCCAGAAGAAGUCGAUAAAAGUCCCUUUCUUUCUAAAAAAAGUCGUUAGGGGGUCUGAAAAGUCAUUGAAUCUAACAACAAAGUCGCUAGGUUUGCAACUACGUGUCCCAGACUGCAUCCCUGCUGAGAGUCCCUCCCUCGCUUCUCAUGUUGCAGGAAGAACGUAAGCGCCCGCCCCUUGUCAAUCAGUCACCAUAUAAUUUUGGAUUGGUUGUUGUGGUGAAGUUUUCCACCAAUAGGAGAGAUGUUGUGGUGUGUUUUUUUUUUCUUUUGGCAAGCCUUUUCCGCCUGUAAGACCUGUCGCUAAUGUCUGCAUGCUAUGUUUUCCUGUCUCAUACAGCGCGAUCGAGCGCCGAACGUGAUCAAAAUAAGCAGAAAAAAAGUAUCGCGGACAUAAUUUAUCAUAACUCUGGUUUUAUUUGGCCUAUCAACACAAUUUAAAAACUGGUAUAUAGGUUGAGGUCCUCACUUUUGAGAUAAGUUGAAACGGAGAGUCAACGAGGCUCCGUCUUGCAGCUACAUCCGGUUAAAUAUGUCAUGUGACUUGAACGCACACACAGACACACACACACGCACACACACACACACACACACACACACACUCAGAGUCUGGUUUUUAGCACCUGCAAAAACAUGCUAUUUACAUAUUUGACAAGAAUGCAGAGGCUCCUUUUGCCCCUGAAAAAAAUCAAAUUUCAAACACAACUUGACUGCUCAUUUCUCCAAAAGACAACCAUGAAGCUCCAUCCAAACCUGAAGCAGGCAGUUGGUGCAUGUGUACAGUAACCUGAGGGGAGUGAGGUGAGUGCUUCUGAGGAGAACAUGAGCAGUGAAGAUUCACCUUGGAGCUAGAACAGAGACAUGCACAUGAUUAUACAGGGGCAGGGGCUCAAGUUUUUUCCAGUCGUUUAUACAAUAUGGAAAUUAAUGUGAAAUUAAAACACAAAGUAUUAAUAGAAAGGUAAUGACUGUCCUGUGUAGGUGACAGUGAUAUCCAAUAGGCUAGGCACUCACGAGGCUGGCUGUGGCAAGUGUAAGUGAAAGCAACACGCACUGGCAGGAAGAACAGCAAACGCCGAUGAAGGAAAAGGGUCUUUGCAGUGAUGGGCGUUACCAGAGAGGGCGAUGGCCAGAGGACACAAAUGGGACGGGGAGGCAGCGCGUUGGGGGGGGGACGCAACACAGCUCGGGCCCGCCAGUGCCCCAACGGGGUCCUAGUGUUAUUAUUAUUUUUCCUCCCCUUUGAACUGGAAAAUGGCCCACUUCCCACUGGCGAAAACUCAUGAAAUUUGGCAGGACGACCGGGCCUGGUGAAAAAUUUGAUAUUCCGAAGUCGCCCAAACAAGAAAAUGCAAAAUGGCUCCAUAGCGCCCCCUAAGGUGAAAAUUCACACUAUUCACUGUCACGCCGGUACGCUUUGUCAAAAUGACACAAAAAUUGACACACACAUGUAUCUCAAUAAGAUCUACAAAAAAGUCAGUGCGGGCGUAUCUGUCAAAUGUACGGUUAAAGGGUUAUUUCGCAUUUUUUGCCGAUCCGCACACAUUGGAAUUUCGCUAACUCCUCCGAAGGCUUUCGUUCCACCGGCACCACAUUUGCUCAGGCCAAUCUACACCCCAUGGCCAUUAAAAGUUAUUCAAAUCAUGACGCUGCACCCCAUGGUUUAGGUUCUAGGGGGCGCCAAAGAUAACCCUAAGAUCCACAUAUUUAAAAGUCUUAUAACUUUUUAUUUUUGCCCUCACUGGCCUCCAAGUUUUCUAGGAUGAUGCAAUGUCCAGCCAUCAACACAUUUGUGAAGGAAUUUUUACUUCCCAAAAGAGCGCCCCCCCAUGGCAGGAGAAAAAAGUCCAUUUUUUCUUGUCCCCUAAGGUGAAAAUACACAUUGUUGAGUGUCACGCCUAUACGCUUUGUCAAAAUGACACAAAAAUUGACACACACAUGUAACUCAAUAAGAUCUACGAAAAAGUCAAUGCGUGCGUAUCUGUCAAAUGUACGGUUAAAGGGUUAUUUCGCAUUUUUUGCCGAUCCGCACACAUUGGAAUUUCGCUAACUCCUCCGAAGGCUUUCGUUCCACCGGCACCACAUUUGCUCAGGCCAAUCUACACCCCAUGGCCAUUAAAAGUUAUUCAAAUCAUGACGCUGCACCCCACGGUUUAGGUUCUAGGGGGCGCCAAAGACAACCCUAAAAUCCACAUAUUUAAAAGUCUUAUAACUUUUUAUUUUUGUCCUCACUGGCCUCCAAGUUUUCUAGGAUGAUGCAAUGUCCAGCCAUCAACACAUUUGUGAAGGAAUUUUUACUCCCCAAAAGAGCGCCCCCCCAUGGCAGGAGAAAAAAGUCCAUUUUUUCUUGUCCCAUAAGGUGAAAAUACACAUUGUUGACUGUCAUACCUGUAUGCUUUGUCAUAUUGACACAAAAUUUGACACACACAUGUAUCUCAAUAAGAUCUACGAAAAAGUCAAUGCGCGCGUAUCUGUAAAAUGUACGGUUAAAGGGCUUUUUUGCAUUUUUUGCCGAUUAGCACACAUUGGAAUGUGGCUAACUCCUCCUAAGGCUUUCGUCCCACUGACACCAAAUUUGCUCAGGCCAAUCUACACCCCAUGGCCAUUCAAAUUUUAAAAAUCAUGACGCUGCACCCCACGGUUUACGUUCUAGGGGGCGCCAAAGAUGACCAAAUAUCCACAUUCUUAAAAGAAUCCACAUCCCCCCCCCCCCCCAUCCCCCAUCCCCCAUCCCCCAUGGCAGGAGAAACAGUCAAGUUUUUCCUGCCCAUCACUCAAUGGCUCAAUCGCAUCGCACUCCCGGCAACACCGUAACGAGGAGCAACUUGCCGUUUGGAUAUAUCCUAGCUGUGUUUGUGCCCUCACUCAUGGUCCAGACUUUUUUCAAAUAGGACAUGUAGUUUGUCUGCAGCGAGUGUUUUGGUAGAAACUGCGCCUCCCAUUCAUUAUAAUGGGAAAUGACCACAGACAAGUGCGCACACCAUCUUUGGACCUUGAGUGUGACGCGAUCGGGAGGGGGAGGUGGUCACGCUGGGGGCGGCGCAACGCGGCUCGGGCCCGCCAGUGCCCCAACGGGGCCCUAGUUCUUUCUUUCUUUCUUCUUUUUCCUCCCCUUUGAACUGGAAAAUGGCCCACUUCCCACUGGCGAAAACUCAGGAAAUUUGGCAGGACGACCGGGCCUGGUGAAAAAUUCGAUAUUCUGAAGUCGCCCAAACAAUAAAAUGCAAAAUGGCUCCAUAGCGCCCCCUAAGGUGGAAAUUCACACUAUUGACUGUCACGCCUGUACGCUUUGUCAUAUUGACACAAAAAUUGACACACAUAUGUAUCUCAAUAAGAUCUACAAAAAAGUCAGUGCGGCCGUAUCUGUCAAAUGUACGGUUAAAGGGUUAUUUUGCAUUUUUUUCCGAUCCGCACACAUUGGAAUUUCGCUAACUCCUCCGAAGGCUUUCGUUCCACCGGCACCACAUUUGCUCAGGCCAAUCUACACCCCGUGGCCAUUAAAAGUUAUCAAAAUCAUGACGCUGCACCCCAAGGUUUAGGUUCUAGGGGGCGCCAAAGAUAACACUAAAAUCCACAUAUUUAAAAGUCUUAUAACUUUUUAUUUUUGUCCUCACUGGCCUCCAAGUUUUCUAGGAUGAUGCAAUGUCCAGCCAUCAACACAUUUGUGAAGGAAUUUUUACUCCCCAAAAGAGCGCCCCCCAUGGCAGGAGAAAAAGUCCAUUUUUUCUUGUCCCCUAAGGUGAAAAUACACAUUGUUGACUGUCACGCCUUUACGCUUUGUCAAAAUGACACAAAAAUUGACACACACAUGUAACUCAAUAAGAUCUACGAAAAAGUCAACGCGCGCGUAUCUGUCAAAUGUACGGUUAAAGGGUUAUUCCGCAUUUUUUGCCGAUCCGCACACAUUGGAAUUUCGCUAACUCCUCCGAAGGCUUUCUGUCCACCGGCACCACAUUUGCUCAGGCCAAUCUACACCCCAUGGCCAUUAAAAGUUAUUCAAAUCAUGACGCUGCACCCCACGGUUUAGGUUCUAGGGGGCGCCAAAGACAACCCUAAAAUCCACAUAUUUAAAAGUCUUAUAACUUUUUAUUUUUGUCCUCACUGGCCUCCAAGUUUUCUAGGAUGAUGCAAUGUCCAGCCAUCAACACAUUUGUGAAGGAAUUUUUACUCCCCAAAAGAGCGCCCCCCAUGGCAGGAGAAAAAAGUCCAUUUUUUCUUGUCCCCUAAGGUGAAAAUACAUAUUGUUGAGAUUCACGCCUAUACGCUUUGUCAUAUUGACACAAAAUUUGACAAUCACGUGCCUUGCCUGGUAUCAUUUUUUUUCAGCACAACCUCACCUGUGCGAAUUUACAGUUAUUUUAUCAUGUUGACAUACUGAAUUUACACAAUGGACCCAAAUUCACACACAAAACAUAAAAUCCGAGUGGAAAAAAGUAACAUUUUUACUGUGAAAACCACAAAUAUGUGUGAUGAACUGUUUUUAAAACUUAAACUUCAAAUAAAAAUUGUAAACUUCAAAACAUAUGCAAAUUUUUAACAAAGAACAUAGUAAUUUACCUCUAUUUACAUCAAAAUGCAGGCAAUGGCCCAGGUGUUCUUUGUAAAAUUAUUUACAAAACACUGUAUAGUCUCACAAAUGUCACUUUUUAUUUAUGCCACUACAAAAAAACAUGAUGUAAAUGAUGCAUGAUGUAAAACAUGAUGUAAAAAACUUGUGUAGAUCCUCCUCUAUGUCAGUCCAUGUGUAAUUUUUCCAUAAUUCUUUGUUUUUUGCAGCAUUUUUGUUAGUGUAACUGCAGAUUGUGCUGACAGUGUCUAUGGCACAAAAAAAAAAAAAUAAUUUAAAAUGCAUCAACAUGAACCCCUGGUGGUCUCUGAGGGUGAAACCUGCUAACUGCUGCAGCUCUGUCAGCUUCAGUCUCCCAUGCAGAGCUCUGAGCGCAUGUGUGGCUCUGCACCCUUAGCAGCGUUGCUAACUCCUCAGUAAGGAAAGCCUGCUUCAUGUCAGAGUCUCUAAACUCCAGAAGAAGUCGAUAAAAGUCCCUUUCUUUCUAAAAAAAAGUCGUUAGGGGGUCUGAAAAGUCAUUGAAUCUAACAACAAAGUCGCUAGGUUUGCAACUACGUGUCCCAGACUGCAUCCCUGCUGAGAGUCCCUCCCUCCCUUCUCAUGUUGCAGGAAGAACGUAAGCGCCCGCCCCUUGUCAAUCAGUCACCAUAUAAUUUUGGAUUGGUUGUUGUGGUGAAGUUUUCCACCAAUAGAAGAGAUGUUGUGGUGUGUUUUUUUUUUCUUUUGGCAAGCCUUUUCCGCCUGUAAGACCUGUCGCUAAUGUCUGCAUGCUAUGUUUUCCUGUCUCAUACAGCGCGAUCGAGCGCCGAACGUGAUCAAAAUAAGCAGAAAAAAAGUAUCGCGGACAUAAUUUAUCAUAACUCUGGUUUUAUUUGGCCUAUCAACACAAUUUAAAAACUGGUAUAUAGGUUGAGGUCCUCACUUUUGAGAUAAGUUGAAACGGAGAGUCAACGAGGCUCCGUCUUGCAGCUACAUCCGGUUAAAUAUGUCAUGUGACUUGAACGCACACACAGACACACACACACGCACACACACACACACACUCAGAGUCUGUUUUUUAGCACCUCCAAAUAUGCUAUUUACAUAUUUGACAAGAAUGCAGAGGCUCCUUUUGCCCCUGAAAAAAAUCAAAUUUCAAACACAACUUGACUGGUCAUUUCUCCAAAAGACAACCAUGAAGCUCCAUCCAAACCUGAAGCAGGCAGUUGGUGCAUGUGUACAGUAACCUGAGGGGAGUGAGGUGAGUGCUUCUGAGGAGAACAUGAGCAGUGAAGAUUCACCUUGGAGCUAGAACAGAGACAUGCACAUGAUUAUACAGGGGCAGGGGCUCAAGUUUUUUCCAGUCGUUUAUACAAUAUGGAAAUUAAUGUGAAAUUAAAACACAAAGUAUUAAUAGAAAGGUAAUGACUGUCCUGUGUAGGUGACAGUGAUAUCCAAUAGGCUAGGCACUCACGAGGCUGGCUGUGGCAAGUGUAAGUGAAAGCAACACGCACUGGCAGGAAGAACAGCAAACGCCGAUGAAGGAAAAGGGUCUUUGCAGUGAUGGGCGUUACCAGAGAGGGCGAUGGCCAGAGGACACAAAUGGGACGGGGAGGCAGCACGUUGGGGGGGGGGACACGACACGGCUCGGGCCCGCCAGUGCCCCAACGGGGUCCUAGUUAGUAGUAGUAGUUGUAGUAGUAGUAGGAUUGCAUUUCUGAAG
rnacentral:lncRNA from 1 species